GAUCCUGGCUCAAGACGAACGCUGGCGGCGUGCUUAACACAUGCAAGUCGAACGGAGCACCCUUGACUGAGGUUUCGGCCAAAUGAUAGGAAUGCUUAGUGGCGGACUGGUGAGUAACGCGUGAGGAACCUGCCUUUCAGAGGGGGACAACAGUUGGAAACGACUGCUAAUACCGCAUGACGCAUUUUGAUCGCAUGGUCGAAAUGCCAAAGAUUUAUCG
rnacentral:rRNA from 1 species